CGUCCUAAAACAAUCGGCGGUGGCAUUCAGCUUCUAGCGGAGUAACUCAUCUCGCUCUGGAGCCUGGAUGUCCCACAGCCAAAACACUGAUCUUUAAUCAAAGGUUGACCUCGGAUCAGGUAGGGAUACCCGCUGAACUUAAGCAUAUCAAUAAGCGGAGGAAAAGAAACCAACAGGGAUUGCCUCAGUAACGGCGAGUGAAGCGGCAACAGCUCAAAUUUGAAAUCUGGCCUCACGGUCAGAGUUGUAAUUUGUAGAGGAUGCUUCGAGCGUGGUCCGGUCUAAGUUCCUUGGAACAGGACGUCAUAGAGGGUGAGAAUCCCGUAUGUGACUGGGUGCCUAAGCUCUUGUGAAGCUCCUUCGACGAGUCGAGUUGUUUGGGAAUGCAGCUCAAAAUGGGUGGUAAAUUUCAUCUAAAGCUAAAUACUGGCCAGAGACCGAUAGCGCACAAGUAGAGUGAUCGAAAGAUGAAAAGCACUUUGGAAAGAGGGUUAAACAGUACGUGAAAUUGUUGAAAGGGAAGCGCUUGCAACCAGACUUGCAUGCACUCGAUCAUCCGGUGUUCUCACUGGUGCACUCGAAUGUAUUCAGGCCAGCAUUGGUUUCAGUGGUUGGAUAAAGGCCAGGGGAAUGUAGCUUCUCUUGGGGAGUGUUAUAGCCUCUGGUGCCAUGCGGCCUACUGGGACCGAGGACCGCGCUCCGGCUAGGAUGCUGGCGUAAUGGUUGUAAGCGACC
rnacentral:rRNA from 1 species